CCAGUCAACAUCAGAGAUGCCCCCCACCCCACCCCCACCCCAACAGAAGGGAUCACCACCUUUUGACUAUUCCUUCCUCAUUCACUCAAGGGAUCCAGAUCCAUAUCCACCAUAUGAAAACAAUAAAAACAACAAAUUUUGCUCCAGUUUGCUGGCCCCUGCUUCCAAGCUUGGUGUGUUGCCAGGAGCUCGAGUUCUUGUAAUGGUGUGCUUUUGCAUUUUUAUCUUCUGGCUUCCUGGGAGGGAGGUGACCACAGCCACCUUGAAAGGAUGAUGGAAGCUUUGUCAUCCUGAUCCCCUGAAUGACUGCAUAGAGCUGGGCUGUCCCUGACCUGGAACUCCCAUCCUGAUCUGCUAACUUGUUCCGUGAGACACUAAAUUUGGAGGUGUAUAUGUGAUCACAGCAUAGCCUUCCCUAACUGAAACAUUGCACUUAUGGUCUUGAGUUUCUUAGCUAGUGAGAAUGCUUUAGUAGAAGCUAUGUGCCUGCUAAAAAAAAAAAAAAAAAAAAAAAGUAGAAAGAGUAAAAUGACAUUGAGUAUAUCUAAGAAGCCAAUGGUUCUUAGCUGAAAGGUGAGUGUUUUUUAUAAUUUAAUGAUAAAAUUCCAAAUUCCUAUCAGAGAUAUGAAUAAUUCCAUCAUAUACUCUGUAUAAAGAACAAAAGACCCAAUUCUUGAACUGUUUUAGCAAAUGCUUCAACCAGGAUUUUGAAAAUAGGUUUAUGGAUAACUUUGGUCCUGAAUUUAAAAUGCUAAUGAUAUAUGUGGACAUCAUUUACAUUUUUAAGUUUAUACUCUACAACACUUCAGGAAGAAAAUCACAUGGUAUGUAUUUGAAAAUCUGACAAUUCAUACACAUGCACAGAAAACGUGAUCACCUUAUGAUAUAUUUUUUCUAAAUAUCAUUUGGGUGGUGCAACUCUAGAAUGAAUUUACUGUUUUGAUUCUCUAAGACUGUAAUAUUAAAUUAUGUAUUUUAAAAUCCUAAAUUGUAAAAUUUCAGAAUAUAGAGAAGGGGGAGAAAGAAAUGAUACUUAUCUGUGACUAUUGAAUUUGUGUGGUAGAUAAAAAUUGUCCCCCAAAGAUACCAGGUCCUAAUUCUUAGAAUCUACAAAUGUUACCUUAGAUAGAAAAAUGACCUUUGUAGGUGAUUAAAUCGAGGAUUUUGAGAUGAAGAGAUUUUCCAAGAUUAUCAGAGUGGGCCCUAAAUGCAGUCACAUUUAUCCUUAUAAAAGAGAGACAGAAGGAGAUGUGACCCACAAAGAAGAGGAAGAG
rnacentral:lncRNA from 1 species